rnacentral:rRNA from 1 species
ACGGGUGAGUAACACGUAUCCAACCUGCCGUCUACUCUUGGCCAGCCUUCUGAAGGAAGAUUAAUCCAGGAUGGCAUCAUGAGUUCACAUGUCCGCAUGAUUAAAGGUAUUUUCCGGUAGACGAUGGGGAUGCGUUCCAUUAGAUAGUAGGCGGGGUAACGGCCCACCUAGUCUUCGAUGGAUAGGGGUUCUGAGAGGAAGGUCCCCCACAUUGGAACUGAGACACGGUCCAA